rnacentral:ncRNA from 2 species
GGACGGGCCUCUGGAGAGACUCAUUAUGAGCGCCGAAGGGGAAAGCCAUAUAUACUAUGGUGAAGCUCUCAGGUAAAAGGGACAGGGGAUUUUAA